GAUGAACGCUGGCGGCGUGCCUAAUACAUGCAAGUCGAGCGAACGGACGAGAGGCUUGCUUCUCUGACGUUAGCGGCGGACGGGUGAGUAACACGUGGAUAACCUACCUAUAAGACUGGGAUAACUUCGGGAAACCGGAGCUAAUACCGGAUAAUAUUUUGAACCGCAUGGUUCAAAAGUGAAAGACGGUCUUGCUGUCACUUAUAGAUGGAUCCGCGCUGCAUUAGCUAGUUGGUAAGGUAACGGCUUACCAAGGCAACGAUGCAUAGCCGACCUGAGAGGGUGAUCGGCCACACUGGAACUGAGACACGGUCCAGACUCCUACGGGAGGCAGCAGUAGGGAAUCUUCCGCAAUGGGCGAAAGCCUGACGGAGCAACGCCGCGUGAGUGAUGAAGGUCUUCGGAUCGUAAAACUCUGUUAUUAGGGAAGAACAUAUGUGUAAGUAACUGUGCACAUCUUGACGGUACCUAAUCAGAAAGCCACGGCUAACUACGUG
rnacentral:rRNA from 1 species